rnacentral:rRNA from 1 species
GACAGAGGGUGCAAACGUUGCUCGGAAUCACUGGGCGUAAAGGGCGUGUAGGCGGGACGGUAAGUCGGGCGUGAAAUCCCUAGGCUCAACCUAGGAACUGCACUCGAAACUACCAUUCUUGAGUGUCGGAGAGGAAAGCGGAAUUCCUGGUGUAGAGGUGAAAUUCGUAGAUAUCAGGAGGAACACCAGUGGCGAAGGCGGCUUUCUGGACGAUAACUGACGUGAGACGCGAAAGCGUGGGGAGCAAACAGG